UUUUCCAUCAAGAUAUCGAAUUAAGAUCUCAAAAUUAUUUAAGCGUAUAAAUAAAUGAUCACCAUUGUUUCCCUUCGGAAUUUAUAUUUAUUUCGUACUUUGAAUAAAAUUAUUCAUCUUUAGCAUGGUUCAGAAUUAAAUCAUUCCCCCACACUUAAUUUAAUUAUUCAUCGGCCCAAAAAUUUAAUUUAUCUCUAGUCCAAGCCAAUUAAAAAUCCCAGUCCACCUUAUUACUCCUAUUUAUUUUACGAGGCCCAAAAAGUAGCCCAAUUUUAUACUCCCAUCCUCUCUCUCUCUCUCUCUCUCUCUCUCUUCACCUCACUUCUUCUCCAAUUCGACCAAAUCGAAGAUCCCCAAUUUAAGGAGACCGCCGACUCCCUUCCGUCGUCCUUACGCUGACCGCUCCAACGCCAGGCCGGCGGUAUCGCCGUCGCCACUGUCGGCUGUACCAAGUCCCCCGUUUCGGUAAAAUCCCCAAAUUGGAUGAUACCCCAAAAUGAGAGGGGUUCCCGAUUCGUCGCCUCCCUCCGACCUUCACCGCUAAAUCGACGCCGGUCACCACCACCGCGGCUCUCCUCACUCACGUCAGCGACCAUCACUCACCAACGCCGCCGAUUCCUCAUCAUUCCGACACCACCGCCGCUGUUUCUCGGCGAAACUGGCCGAUUCGCCAAUGCAGCUGUUGGAAAAGGUGGGCGUCUCUCAGCCGUUGUUGCUGCUUCGUCGAUUCACCACCGUGGAGUCACCGCAGCCGAACAGCAACGCCGAGUAGGCGCCUCGCUUUCGCUGCUCUGCCGCCUCAUCCCGCCGUCUGCCUGCCUGAAACUGGCAACCAGCUACCGUCGUCCGGCCUUGUCGACUCGACUCCGAGGCGUCCCAAUCAGUCCCCGAAACAGUUCCGAAACCAAUCCGGACAGCCUCCGUUUACAUUCGAACAACCCCGAAAGAUAAGUUCUCUUUACCAAAACAUGUUCUUUCGUGUUUUCAAUUAAUCACAGCGGUUGUUCGAUUAUUGGUGUUAAAAAAGGAUUGAAUUAUUGCAAGCAAGGGGUGGUUAAAUUGUUGAUUGCUCGAUUGUGUUAUUGAUUUAGUUCUUUGUGUAUUGAUUUAGUUCUUUGUGUGGGAGAUUGAUGUAUGAUGCUAUGUUGGGAGCAAAAGCAUAUGUUCAUGAUUGAAAUUGAGCAGUGGAGGUUUAUACCUUCUGUCGAACUUUGAAUUUGGGGUGCAAAAGGAGUACUUCCUUGGACUUGGCAGUUUCGUUCCUCUCACAUAUUGUUGCACAUGUUUGAAACUCUUCCACAACUACUGCUCCUUGAAUUUUUUUGGCUCCUAGGCUCCAACUCCCUCUCACUCUCAACUCACUAUCAUUCUAAUUGGUAUGUGGUGGUGAAAGAGGGUGAGGCCGAGGGUCAUCUUAUACUUGAAUUGCAUAACAGAAAGCCUGCAAAGGCUGGUAUAUUUGGGCAGAAAAAGAGUCCUUGGUUGGUUAUAUGUUGGCUGUUCUCUCUGUAGCAAUGCUGGGAUGUACUCUGCAUUAAUUGGAAUUGUAACCUCUUUUGUUGUUUUUGUUGUCAUAUUGCAGAGUAUCUCAGCCCCCUGUCUCUCACUGCAAGUCACUGUAUUUUGUCUGACUUUUUGCAGGUACAAUCGUGAAUGGAGGCCAUUGAACUUAGGUGAAAGGCCUCUGCAGCUGCUGGGAGUGAAGAGGCCGGCUGGACUGCCUCACAGUCACAGCAGCCUUCGGUGGUACCGGCUGAGAGGGCAAGCUGCUGCAGGUCCUUGCUGCCUUCAUUCCUACUCAUUUAGGUAAUAGGGCUGGCUACAUAUGGUCAUCACACUAAUGUCCCAGCCCAUCGAGCCAUCUGAAGUUGGGCCGAAACGGCCUGAAGAUAAUGGCCGAUGAAGUUUUCUAAAGAUCUUGGAUUGAAAAGAGUAGUUCGACUUGUAGUCUUCCCUUUUCUUUUCGACAUGUAUGCAAAUAUCUGUAAUAGUUAGUGUGUAUUUUGUUUCCUUCAUUUUCAUCGUCAAUUAUUUAAAAUCUGACUUAGUUUGAAAUUUCUACAUUGCACUUCGUUUACUUAAGAAGUAAACGGAUACAUUUUCGCUUCA